AUUUUUGUGGUUCUGAUGUGUUAGGUUAAUGAACUUAUAAAGUUUACAAGACACCUUUUUUGUUUUUACUUUGAUACAGGCAGGGUUUUCUUAGUUUUAAGGAUUUGUUUGGCAUAGAUUAAGAGGCCUUAUUGAGGGGACAGGACAGGGUGUAUCUGUUAAUCUAUUUGGCAAUUUGGAUAUUGGGUAAAUAAAGUUAAUAUUUUGGUAGAAUUUUUGGGUUUUGUUAAUUUAUUUAUUUAUGAAUUUGUGUGCCUACAGCUGUAGUGUCUCUGCUGCAACUCUGAGAAUCCAUUCAUGUUUGUGUGCAUUAGGCGGUCCAGUCGUGUAACACUGAGACCCCCCUCUGCACCAGCCCGCAGACCCGCUCCUUCGACCUCGUGGGAAUUCGGAAAGUAGCACACGGCUCUACGAGGAAGUCUUGAUCUUUGUCAUUUGAUGGUGUCACCCAGGGAGCCUUCAGGAGCGGCUGGGGAGUUGCUGUCAGUUGGGGAACAACUAGUGAGGGGGAGCCAGGGUCCACUAUAGUUUUGGGAACGCCACAUCACCUCGUCUCCUCUCCAGCCAGGCAGACCCUGCCAGGAGGGCGUGGACAAAGCGUGCGACCCGAGGAGCGCGGCGUUCUUAGGAGAAUGGUGAGUAGCAGGAUUGCUGGCUUUUGUCCAUUCUGCAGCUAAGAUCAUGCAGUGAUGUUUGGUGUUCUUGAUUGUAGCUGAACAAGGGACCACAGCCCGGUGACCAUAGGACAUUCCCAGAAGGUGAGGCAGCCUCCAUUCACAAGUGACAUGGAUUCUCAUCCCCAUAUGUCUGAGAGAUAAGUCGAGGGCUAAGGCUCACAGAGGGGAUGAAAGCGAGGUGCUGCGAGGGCCUUUUGAAUCAGCUUUGGGGGCAGGGAUGUGCAAGAGGUGUCCCCUUAGGCCACCUAAAGGGAGAGUGUCUGUUUUGAUAUCACUGCUGAGGUGCGCAGGGCAGAGCAGUUCUGGUGCGUGUUCUGUUACUUGUCUCUGGUGCACUCUGUGUUCUUUGGGUCUCUCAGUCCUUUCUUCUCAUCAAAAGCUCUUUCUCCCUGUCCUGUCCCCUCGUUUGUCCUGUCCUGUGUCACGGGUGUCUGCACAUAUUAGUCCCGGAGCUGCUCUGCCCUGCUGCCUAGCCUGUAAUAGCACAAGUCCUGGGGACUGGAAAUUGGUAAUGCAGGGUGUAGUUGGGCUCUAGCUUGUAUUCGGAGAUUGACAUAACAUGUUUGGUGCUGUUAAGUUGUCCUUGCAGCCGUUUGACUCUAGUGCUGACUUCUUUUCAGAUGCAGACAGUUCAAAUCAGUGCCAGAGGGCCCCAGUCCUGGGUGAGGAUCUUCCCAUGAGCAGGUCAGUCAUUGUUUGCAUUUGCAGGGGAAGUCUAAAUGGUGACUCUGUUUCAGCACUGUUCUUUGCCUUUAUUUUUAGGAGGUCCAGGCAGAUAGCAGCAGUCAAGGCCAAGUGUGCUAGGUGAGCUGCAGACAGAAGCAGUUGUUCUCACUCAGUUUUCAGUGUUUGGUCUGACUGUAAGCAUCCUUUCCUGUUUGUGUGCUUUAUGGGAAUCCACUCAGAGUAUGCAUAGCCCCUGUCACCAGCUGGCCGAUGGACUGGGUUUCCUGUGCUUGUGAGUCCUCUGGAAGUAUUACAGGACCCUGUGAUGAAACCUUCCCAUUUUGUAUUUCAGGGUCCCAUCCUGGUAGCCCAGAGGAGUGGCCAAGGAGUUGCAGUGAGUCAGGGAGGUAGGGAGGAGGAGUGAGAGUCCACUCGAGUUUCAGCAAUGCCAUGUCGCAUUGUCUCCCCUUAACCUAGGUGUACCCUGCAAUGACGGCGUCAGAAUCCAAGCACGCCCGAAGUGUGCUGGCCGGAGAACGUGAGCAUUCUGAGGAGAAUGGUGAGUAGCAGAAUUAUCAGGUUUUGUCCUAUGUGCUGCUCACACUGUGCACUGAUGUUUGGUUUUCUUUCUCUGGGCAGACCACGAGGUGACAGCUGGAACUUACCAGACAGGCAGACGGCCUUCUUCUGCAGCCAACAGGGAUUUGCAUCCCCAGAUGCAUGCAAGAUAAAUUGAGAGUUAUGCCCACAGAGGGGAUUAAAGCCGGGUGCUGGGCUGGGACUUUCUAGAAGGGUUUUUUUGUCUGUUUUGGGUAUGGGGAUGUCCAAGAAGCGUCUCCUUAGGCCACCUAAAGGGAAUGUGUUUCUUUUGAUCUCAGUGCUAAGGUGCUCAGGGCAGAGCAGUUCUGGUGUGUCCUGCUACUUGUCUCUGGUGCACACUGUGUUCUUUGGGUCUCUGAUCCUUGCACACAUUCUUCUUGUCGAAAUCUCUCUCCUCCUGUCAUGUCCCGUCAUUUGUCUUGUCCUGUCCUGUGUCACGGGUGUCUGCACAUAUUAGUCCCGGAGCUGCUCUGCCCUGCUGCCUAGCCUGUAAUAGCACAAGUCCUGGGGACUGGAAAUUGGUAAUGCAGGUGUAGUUGGGCUCUAGCUUUUAUUCGGAGAUUGACAUAACAUGUUUGGUGCUGUUAAGUUGUCCUGCAGCCGUUUGACUCUAGUCCUGACUUCUUUUCAGGUGCAAAGAGUUCAAAUUUAUGGCAGAGGGCACCAGUCCUGCAUGAGGUGUUUGCAUAAAGAGAUCAGUCAUUUUUGCAUUAGGAAGACUAAGUGAUUGUUUACCGUGGGAAAGAAAAGCCGGAGUUUGUGCUCAGCACCCUGUGGCCAACAAUGUCCAGCUGAUUGCAAAAAAUCCGAACAUCAAAAGAUGUCUCCCAGACCUGGGCUGCCCCCAUCUUAUACUUGUGCUGCCCUGACAGUCCCAGGGGGAGCCCUACAAACUUACAUCAGAAACCCAGACUGGUGAGUUUUCUUUCCCAGGAAAAAGAGCCAGAGUUUGUGCUCAGGGUCCUGUGGCACUGAGCGGGCAGCUGAUUUCAAAGCAUCCAAAUAUCGAAAAAUGUGUCCAAGAACGGGGCUGCCGACACCUCAUACUUGUGCUGCCCUGACAGUCCCAGGGGAGACCUACAAACCGGCAUCAGGAACCUGGACUGGUGAGUUUUCUGUCCCAGGUGUAAGGCCCAGAGUUUGUGCCAAGGGUCCUGUGGCCCUUAGUGGAUGCCUGACUGCAAAAAAUCCGAACAUCGAAGGGUGUGUCCCGGACCCGGGCUGCCCCCUCCUCAUAACUUCUCCUGCCCUGAAAGACCCAGGGGAGCCCUACAAACUUAAAUCAGGAACCUGUACUGGUGAGUUUUCUUUCCCAGGAAAAAGAGCCAGAGUUUGUGCUCAGGAUCCUGUGGCCUUGAGUGGGCAGCUGACUGCAAAAAUCCGAACAUCAAAGGAUGUGUCCCCGACCGGGGCUGGCCCACUUCAUACUUCUGCUACCCUGGCAGUCCCAGCAUAUUAUCCCAUGGGCAAGCUUCAUAUAACAUGGCCCAGCAUAAUAUUACAUGGCCAUGCUUCAUGUUGCAUGGCCCAGCAUCAUACAGCAUGGCCCAACAUAUUAUAGUACGGCCCGGCAUAUUAUCACAUGGCCCAGCGUAAUAUAGCAUGGCCCAGCAUAUUAUCACAUGGCCUUGCUUCAUGUCGCAUGGCCCAGCAUCAUAUAGCAUAGCCCAGCAAAUUAUUACAUGGCCCAGCAUAUUCUUACAUGGCCCACUAUAUUAUGGAAUGGCGCACCAUAUUAUAGAAUGGCCCAGCAUCACAUAGCAUGGCCCAGCAUAUUAUUACAUGGCCUAGAUUCAUAUAGCAUGUCCCAGAAUAUUAUUACAUGGCCUAACUUCAUAUAUCAUGGGCCAUCAUAGUAUAGCACGGCCCAGGAUAUUAUACCAUGGCCCGGCAUCAUAUAGCAUUGCCCAGCAUCAUAUAGCAUUGCCCAGCAUCAUAGAGCAUGACCCAGCAUAUUAUAGCACGGACAAGCAUAUUAUAGCAUGGCCCAGCAUCAUAUAGCAUGGCUAAGCAAAUUGAUACAUGGCCCAGCAUAUUAUUACAUGGUCUAGCGUCAUAUAGCAAGGCCCAGUGUAUUAUAGCAGGUCCCAGCCCCAUAUAGCAGGUCCCAGCCCCAUAUAGCAGGUUCCAGCAUCAUAAUGCAUGGCGCAGCAUAUUAUUACAUGGCCCAGCAUCAUGUAGCAUGACCCAGCAUCAAGUAGCAUGGCUCAGCAUAUUAUAGCAUGGCCCAGCAUAUUAUUACAUGGCCUACCUUCAUAUACCACGGCCCAGCAUAUUAUUACAUGGCUUAGCUUCAUACCGCAUGG
ensembl:lncRNA